rnacentral:rRNA from 1 species
CCUACGGGAGGCAGCAGUGGGGAAUAUUGGGCAAUGGAGGAAACUCUGAACCAGCACCGCCGCGUGAAUGAUGAAGGCCUUCGGAUUUUAAACUUCUUUUUUUAGGGAAGCAGAACGUGACGGUACCUUAUGAAUAAGCCUCGGCUAACUACGUGCCAGCAGCCGCGGUAAUACGUAGGCGGCGAGCGUUAUCAGGAUUGACUGGGUGUAACGGGUGUGUAGGUGGUUUGGCAAGUUAGUCGCGUAACUCAAAGGCUCAACCUUGGAACUACUACUAAAACUGUUGGACUUGUGUGCAGGGGGGGCAAAUGGAGUUGCUGGGGUAGCGGUGGAAUGCGUAGAUAUUAGGAGGAACACCAGGGGCGAAGGCGGGUUGCUAGACUGUAACUGACACGGAGGCACGAAAGCGUGGGGAACAAACAGGAGUAGAUACCCGUGUAGUC